UACGGAGGAUGCAAGCGUUAUCCGGAUUCAUUGGGUUUAAAGGGUGCGUAGGCGGACUAUUAAGUCAGUGGUGAAAGUCUGCAGCUUAACUGCAGAACUGCCAUUGAUACUGAUAGUCUUGAGUUUGGUUAAGGUAGGCGGAAUGUGUAAUGUAGCGGUGAAAUGCUUAGAUAUUACACAGAACAUCAAUUGCGUAGGCAGCUUACUGAGCCGACACUGACGCUGAGGCACGAAAGCGUGGGGAGUCAAA
rnacentral:rRNA from 1 species